rnacentral:snRNA from 1 species
GUGCUUGCUUUGGCAGCACAUAUACUAAGAACUUUGGAACUUCAUAGAG